CCGACUUUCACGGACAGGAAUGUUUUUGUAAUGUUAGGGCCGACUGUGUCCGUUGAUAGGAUGGGUGGAUCAGUUAUGAUAUCAAAUCCAAAUCCUCUUCUCCUUUCUCCUGUUUUCUGAAAGACAAUCAGAUUGUUGUAGAGGGUUUAUCAUUGCACGAGUUCUGUUUUGUUUGCAAAUCCUGAGUUGCAGACCUUGAAUGGAGAACUCUCAAGGGUUCUACGAGAACACAACCUUUAGCUGGCCAACCGAUUAGGAUGUUCUGUGGUGCUUUGUCUCAAGGACCGUAAAGAACUGUAGUGGAGAUAAGGAAGCCAUUGAGAGUUUCAGCAAGCGAACCGAAAAUUUCUGACUGUUUUUCCUGUUCAUUAAGCACACAUGAUUGAAUUCUAGGAAUUGUUACUCCUUAGAUUAUGGGUUGGUCUUCCCGCUGAUUUUGGUAAUUUGUUUUUGCAGAUGUGAGGUGUAUACUACAUUAUCUAAGCUCAUUUGGUUGCAAUUAUCUUUCGGUUGUCAUAGUACUGAUUGAACACAUCAUUUAACUGUAGAAAGUGUCUGCACAAGAAUCAAAAAGAAAAGCAAUGGCGGGGAAAUGGAUAGCUAUGCUAUGUGGUGAAGGAUAGCUUUUACUGAUCCUGAUUUUCUCAGAGGUUUAUACCAAGCGCAGUAAAACAAAAUAAAAGUGGUAUCAAGCGCAGUAGGAACACCACCAACCUCAUGGGGGAGAGCGCAAGCUAGCCGCUACUGUAGAAUGUGGUCAGAACCAAUGGGACUCACCUAAGAAUUGAGGCACACCAGCACCAUGCCUUUGUACAUCACAGCCUUACAGUACCGAGUUUGUACACAUCUGCAUACAACCAUGCAGGAUCAAUGCCUCGAUAUGGUGAGAUACAACCGUCCGCAUACAGCCACAUGUGUACAUCUUUAUACAACCAUCUAUACGCAUAUAUCAAUAGCAAAUGGAUACAAUUUAUCAAUCCCCGAUUCCCAUGCGGAAAGUAAAAAGAUCAGAGGAGAGGACUACACAACAAGCAAGGAACAUUCAUAUAUCACAGGAUGCUCAAGAUAACAACUAUUUCGCCAAUUACAGGAUGCUCAAGAUAACAACUACCGAACUUAAGAUGCACACAGGUUGAGUAUGAAUUUAAUUUUUGUGCAGAAUCUGGAAAUGUAGACCUCCUAAAAGUUUCAGAAACCCUUAACCAUUGUCGAGAAACACCAAUGCACUCACUAUACCAUUAGCUACGCAAGCAGAGUACAAGCCUUCCCCUGGUGUAUUAUCAACUUCAUAGAUUAACCAUAUGUUUAUGCAAUUGUGGAAGUCUAGGCACCAUGGAAAAUACAACGGUUCCUCGGCAUACUCCCCGUAGUGAACUACAGAGCGAGAUGCUUAUGGAAGGGUUAGUUCUCUAAUAAAGUUUGAUUAAGUGGUUCCGGGCUUCAUUGUAAUUGACAUGUUAAUCAGUGUUGUAAGAAAGAGAAUCACUUGAUAUCGGGCUAAUGCUAAACUGAAUGUGGGGUUUUA